rnacentral:lncRNA from 10 species
UUGUCAUUACCAUGGGGAUUACACGAAACAUCCUGAAGUUAGAGCAAUCCAUUUUAAACUGGUGUUUUGUUGAUGGCUGACGUAGCGGACUCAAAACAACGAGCACUUCUGCUUGAUACACAGAUUCUCCGAGGUUCCUGUGGAGCCACAGCACCUCCUGUCUUGGCACUUCAUAGUUGUCUCAUCGAGUCCAAGGCUGCCUCCCAAGGGUCUGGCUGGUAGACCAUGAAGUUGAUUCCUGCCUUAAGCCUGGCUCUGCAAGAAGUUGUCCUAUAUUCUCACCAGUCACAUUUUUGGUACUAGAACGGUGCUUUUUAUAGUGCACUCGUAACUGGACGCUGAAAUCACAGCCUGGCCAUUUGGAUGUUCAACCGAUGCUUUAUGCUGCUGAGUCCUUGGAACUCACUCCCCGUGCCGGAACUCACUGGAGCUCAGGUGUGUGGCACUACCUUGUUUCUCUGCAGCUGGUAUUGCAAACAUUUUUCAUGCAUUUAUUUCCCAUUGUUUACUUUUGAGUUUUUGUUUUGUGAGACAGGGUCUCAGUCUGUCACGCAGGCAGGAGUGUGAUCAUGGCUCACUGCAGCCUUGACCUCCUGGGUUCAAGCAAUCUCGCCUCAGCCUCCCAAAGUGCUGGGAGUACAAGUGUGAGCCACCACACCUGCCCUACUUUUGAGCUUUGAGUUCUUUAUAUAUUCUAGAGAUGAGUCUCUAGAGAUGAGUCCUCGGUCUGAUAGAUGGUUUGUAAACAUUUUUCCCAAUCUGUAGCUUAUCUUUCCAUCUUCUUAAUAGAGUCUUUCAGACAGCAAAAAUAAGAUCUCUCUUGCAAAUACUCUGCCUCUGUAGCAGGAAAGCAGCCAUAGACUACGUAAAUGAACGUCGGUGGAUCCCUUGAGUAAGUGUCAUUCAUGGUAAAGAUAUCUCUAGACAGAUCAGUGCUGAGAGGCUUUUUCAUUCUUAAAUAAUAGUUGAGCUGGGUACACACACUAACCUCAUGCUUAUUUUCUCUUACUCCACUGUCUUCUGCUGUUGCUGGUGGGAGAUCAGUUAUCAACAUGUUCUUCCUUCUUUCCACCCUCUUCCUUAGCUUUUAGGACCUUUUCUUUGUUUUUUCUGCAGUUUAGUUCUGAUGGGUCUUGGUAUGGAUGGAUUUAUUGUAUUGGGGAUCAUGCCUGCUGACUCUAAAGGGUCCUGUGUCUGUUUUCAUUCUGGAAUUUUUUUUUUUUUGAGACGGAGUCUUGCUCUGUUGUUCAGGCUGGAGUGCAGUGGCGCAAUCUCGGCUCACUGCAACCUCCUGGGUUCAAGCGAUUCUCCUGCCUCAGCCUUCAUAGUUGCUGGGAUUACAGGAGCCCGCCACCACACCCGGCUAAUUUUUGUAUUUGUGGUAGAGACAGGGGUUUCGCCAUGUUGGCCAGGCUGGUCUCAAACUCCUGACCUCAGGUGAUCUGCCCAUCUUGGCCUCCCAAAGUGCUGGGAUUACAGGCAUAAGCCACCACACCCGGCAUUUCUUUUAGACAUGUUGGAUCCUCUUAUUUCAUCCUCCCUUUGUCAUAUUUUCCAAUUCAUUAAUUUUCUCUUCUGCUGUUAAGGUUUUAAAUGUCUGAAUGGCAGCCACUAAUUCUGGCAUCUGAAGCUCUUGGAAGCCUACUCCUGUUGUUGCCACUGACUUCUAUGCCCAUUUAGUGGGGCUUUGGCUGUGGGAAUCAUACGCAGCACUGGAUGACGGAGCUCUCACCACAUGGGAUCUGAUGCUGUCUCCAGGUAGCUGGUGUUAGAACUGAAUUAGAGGGACAGCCUGGUAGUGGGAACAACACACAUUUGGUCACAGAAGUCAUCUGCUGUGUUGAUGAUUAUUGUGGUGUGAGAGCAGAGAGAAAACAGGGCUGAGUAUUUUCCCUAAACAGUGGUGUACAUUCAAAUCCCUGAUGAGGCUGGGCGUGGUGGCUCCCGCCUGUCAUUUCAGCACUUUGGGAGGCUGAGGCAGGAGAACUGCUUGAACCCAGGAGGUGGAAGUUGCAGUGAGCCGAGAUUGUGCCACUGCACUCCAGCCUGGGUGACAGAGUGAGACUGUCCCAAAAAAGAAAAAACCUAAUGGCAAAUUUUCAAGAGGCAACUUAAUGUGGCUCUGUGGACACUUAGCUUAGUAGGGGGUAGGGAAUCCAUUUACAGUGAUAUAAAGGAGCACCUGAGGCUGGGUAGUUCAUAAAUGAGAUAAUUGGCUCACAGUUUUACAGGCUGUACAAGCACGCCUCCAGCAUUUGCUUGGCUUCUGGGAGGCCUCAGGAAGCUUACAAUCAUGGCAGGAGGAGAGAGUACAAAGAGAGGAGGUGCCAGGGUCUUUUUUUUUUUUGAGACGGAGUCUCACUCUGUUGCCCAGGCUAGAGUGCAGUGGUGCAGUCUCAGCUCACUGCAAGCUCUGCCUCCUGGGUUCACGCCAUUCUCCUGCCUCAGCCUCCUGAGUAGCUGGGACUACAGGCGCCCGCAACCAUGCCCGGCUAAUUUUUUUUGUAUUUUUAGUAGAGACGGGGUUUCACCGUGUUAGCCAGGAUGGUCUCGAUCUCCUGACCUCGUGAUGCACCCACCUCAGCCUCCCAAAGUGCUGGGAUUACAGGCGUGAGCCACCGUGCCCAGCCUUGCCAGCUUCUUUUUAAACAACCUGCUCUCAUGUGAACUAAUAGAGCAAGAACUCACUCUUCACCAAACGGAGGGCACUAGGCCAUCCAUGAGGCAUGUACCUGCCUCGAGGGGACACACAUCCAAACAGGCAGUCUUAAUAAAUGUUGUGACUCUUAGCUCCUUGAAUGACAAUUAUUUGUCCUCCCUGGUGAGAGAAAGGGACUGGUUUUCCCUCUGGCCUGGAAGGCAGAUGCCAGACGGGGCAGAGUGCUAGAUGGCUGGGGCAGCUUACCACACUGUGGAGGAGGGGCCAGGGGUACGAAUCCACGGGCACACAGGUGGAUGUAGGCGGCCGCCAGGUUGCAGGCAGGCUGGAGCUCCUGGGUGCCACAGGGGACCUGCACACACAGGCUGAGGAAUGGUGUAGGGUCUACCUGAAAUCAGGGACACCGAGUCACUGUCCACACCCUGAGGAGGGACCUAAGCUUGAUGAGACAAAGGGCCUUCUGCACCCCAUGGGCCAGGCUCACACUCACCACCCGGAAGCAGUCCCUCAAGCUGGAGUGGGGGCCCUCGAAGAAGGCCCAGCAGGCGGGGAGCUGUCCCGGGCAGGCCUGC